rnacentral:lncRNA from 1 species
GCUUCAGAAAAUGACAAACCCACUACCGAUCCAGUGCGCAUCUAGGGGGCGCAAACUGGCGACCAACGAACCAGACAGGCACAAAAAUGCCCAACCCUGGACGGACACACAAAUAUCUGUGCUGCCCACAUCCAGCCAACACAGGCAGCAGGAUAUUUCCUCCUAGUCAGACUGGUGAGUUUUUAUUUUUUGUUUUUAUUU